UGGGGAAUAUUGCGCAAUGGGCGAAAGCCUGACGCAGCAACGCCGCGUGGAGGAUGAAGGCUUUCGGGUUGUAAACUCCUUUCAGCAGGGACGAAAAUGACGGUACCUGCAGAAGAAGCCCCGGCUAACUACGUGCCAGCAGCCGCGGUGAGACGUAGGGGGCAAGCGUUGUCCGGAUUUAUUGGGCGUAAAGAGCUCGUAGGCGGCUUGGCAAGUCAGAUGUGAAAUCUCCAGGCUUAACCUGGAGUCGCCAUCUGAUACUGCUAUGGCUAGAGUCCGGUAGAGGAUCGUGGAAUUCCUGGUGUAGCGGUGAAAUGCGCAGAUAUCAGGAGGAACACCAACGGCGAAGGCAGCGAUCUGGGCCGGUACUGACGCUGAGGAGCGAAAGCGUGGGGAGCGAACAGG
rnacentral:rRNA from 1 species